GGUAGGUUACCCAAGUGGCCAACGGGGGCAGACUGUAAAUCUGCUGGCUUACGCCUUCGACAGUUCGAAUCUGUCACCUACCACCA
rnacentral:tRNA from 2 species